AGUGAACGCUGGCGAUAGGCCUAACACAUGCAAGUCGAACGGCAGCACAGGAGAGCUUGCUCUCUGGUGGCGAGUGGCGGACGGGUGAGGAAUACAUCGGAAUCUACUCUGUCGUGGGGGAUAACGUAGGGAAACUUACGCUAAUACCGCAUACGACCUACGGGUGAAAGCAGGGGAUCUUCGGACCUUGCGCGAUUGAAUGAGCCGAUGUCGGAUUAGCUAGUUGGCGGGGUAAAGGCCCACCAAGGCGACGAUCCGUAGCUGGUCUGAGAGGAUGAUCAGCCACACUGGAACUGAGACACGGUCCAGACUCCUACGGGAGGCAGCAGUGGGGAAUAUUGGACAAUGGGCGCAAGCCUGAUCCAGCCAUACCGCGUGGGUGAAGAAGGCCUUCGGGUUGUAAAGCCCUUUUGUUGGGAAAGAAAUCCAGCUGGCUAAUACCCGGUUGGGAUGACGGUACCCAAAGAAUAAGCACCGGCUAACUUCGUGCCAGCCGCCGCCGUAA
rnacentral:rRNA from 1 species